rnacentral:rRNA from 1 species
UACGUAGGUGGCAAGCGUUGUCCGGACUUACUGGGCGUAAAGGAUGCGUAGGCGGAUCUUUAAGUGGGAUGUGAAAUACCCGGGCUCAACUUGGGUGCUGCAUUCCAAACUGGGGAUCUAGAGUGCAGGAGAGGUAAGUGGAAUUCCUAGUGUAGCGGUGAAAUGCGUAGAGAUUAGGAAGAACACCAGUGGCGAAGGCGACUUACUGGACUGUAACUGACGCUGAGGCAUGAAAGCGUGGGUAGCAAACAGGAUUAGAUACCCUGGUAGCCCACGCCGUAAACGAUGAAUACUAGGUGUAGGAGGUAUCGACCCCUUCUGUGCCGCAGUUAACACAAUAAGUAUUCCGCCUGGGGAGUACGGUCGCAAGAUUAAA